GAUGAACGCUGGCGGCGUGCCUAAUACAUGCAAGUCGAGCGAACAGACGAGGAGCUUGCUCCUCUGACGUUAGCGGCGGACGGGUGAGUAACACGUGGAUACCCUACCUAUAAGACUGGGAUAACUUCGGGAAACCGGAGCUAAUACCGGAUAACAUGUUGACCCGCAUGGUUCAACAGUGAAAGACGGUCUUGCUGUCACUUAUAGAUGGAUCCGCGCCGCAUUAGCUAGUUGGUAAGGUAACGGCUUACCAAGGCAACGAUGCGUAGCCGACCUGAGAGGGUGAUCGGCCACACUGGAACUGAGACACGGACCAGACUCCUACGAGAGGCAGCAGUAGGGUAUCUUCCGCAAUGGGCGAAAGCCUGGCGGAGCAGCGCCGCGUGAGUGAAGAAGGUCUUCGGUUCGUAAAACUCUGUUAUUAGGUAAGAACAAAUGUGUAAGUAACUAUGCACGUCUUGACGGUACCUGAUCAGAAAGCCACGGCUAACUACGUG
rnacentral:rRNA from 1 species